AAAAAUGAUUUUAAUUCAAAAUAUAAAAGAGGAAAAUAUUUAAAGAUUUUUGGUGAAAGUCUCAUGUUUUUUGGAUUAAAAAUAAAAUUAAUAUGAAUUAAACAAAAUAAAGGAAUUAAAUGAAAAAUUAGAAUUAAAAAAGAAAUUAGGAAAAACGAGGGCCAUCAGAUCUCCCUCAUUAAUUGAGGUGACAAAUCGGAUGGCCAAGCGCGCACU
rnacentral:lncRNA from 1 species